CAGGUGGUCAGGUAGAGAAUACCAAGGCGCUUGAGAGAACUCGGGUGAAGGAACUAGGCAAAAUGGUGCCGUAACUUCGGGAGAAGGCACGCUGAUAUGUAGGUGAAGCGGUUUACCCGUGGAGCUGAAAUCAGUCGAAGAUACCAGCUGGCUGCAACUGUUUAUUAAAAACACAGCACUGUGCAAACACGAAAGUGGACGUAUACGGUGUGACGCCUGCCCGGUGCCGGAAGGUUAAUUGAUGGGGUUAUCCGUAAGGAGAAGCUCUUGAUCGAAGCCCCGGUAAACGGCGGCCGUAACUAUAACGGUCCUAAGGUAGCGAAAUUCCUUGUCGGGUAAGUUCCGACCUGCACGAAUGGCGUAAUGAUGGCCAGGCUGUCUCCACCCGAGACUCAGUGAAAUUGAACUCGCUGUGAAGAUGCAGUGUACCCGCGGCAAGACGGAAAGACCCCGUGAACCUUUACUAUAGCUUGACACUGAACACUGGUCCUUGAUGUGUAGGAUAGGUGGGAGGCUUUGAAGUGUGGACGCCAGUCUGCAUGGAGCCAUCCUUGAAAUACCACCCUUUAAUGGCUGGUGUUCUAACGUGGACCCGUAAUCCGGGUUGCGGACAGUGUCUGGUGGGUAGUUUGACUGGGGCGGUCUCCUCCUAAAGAGUAACGGAGGAGCACGAAGGUUAGCUAAUCCUGGUCGGACAUCAGGAGGUUAGUGCAAAGGCAUAAGCUAGCUUGACUGCGAGAGUGACGGCUCGAGCAGGUGCGAAAGCAGGUCUUAGUGAUCCGGUGGUUCUGAAUGGAAGGGCCAUCGCUCAACGGAUAAAAGGUACUCCGGGGAUAACAGGCUGAUACCGCCCAAGAGUUCAUAUCGACGGCGGUGUUUGGCACCUCGAUGUCGGCUCAUCACAUCCUGGGGCUGAAGUAGGUCCCAAGGGUAUGGCUGUUCGCCAUUUAAAGUGGUACGCGAGCUGGGUUUAGAACGUCGUGAGACAGUUCGGUCCCUAUCUGCCGUGGGCGCUGGAGAAUUGAGGGGGGCUGCUCCUAGUACGAGAGGACCGGAGUGGACGCAUCACUGGUGUUCGGGUUGUCAUGCCAAUGGCAUUGCCCGGUAGCUAAAUGCGGAAGAGAUAAGUGCUGAAAGCAUCUAAGCACGAAACUUGCCCCG
rnacentral:rRNA from 1 species